rnacentral:rRNA from 1 species
GAUGAACGCUGGCGGCGUGCCUAACACAUGCAAGUCGAGCGAUCUUCUUCGGAAGAGAGCGGCGGACGGGUGAGUAGCGCGUGGGUAACCUGCCCUGUACACACGGAUAACAUACCGAAAGGUAUGCUAAUACGGGAUAAUAUGCUUUUAUCGCAUGGUAGAAGUAUCAAAGCUCCGGCGGUACAGGAUGGACCCGCGUCUGAUUAGCUAGUUGGUAAGGUAACGGCUUACCAAGGCGACGAUCAGUAGCCGACCUGAGAGGGUGAUCGGCCACAUUGGAACUGAGACACGGUCCAAACUCCUACGGGAGGCAGCAGAGGGGAGGAUUGCACAAUGGGCGAAAGCCUGAUGCAGCAACGCCGCGUGAGCGAUGAAGGCCUUCGGGUCGUAAAGCUCUGUCCUCAAGGAAGAUAAUGACGGUACUUGAGGAGGAAGCCCCGGCUAACUACGUGCCAGCAGCCGCCGUAAGAC